AACGAACGCUGGCGGCAUGCCUAACACAUGCAAGUCGAACGAGACCUUCGGGUCUAGUGGCGCACGGGUGCGUAACGCGUGGGAACCUGCCCUUAGGUUCGGAAUAACUCCCCGAAAGGGGUGCUAAUACCGGAUAAUGUCUUCGGGCCAAAGAUUUAUCGCCUUUGGAUGGGCCCGCGUUGGAUUAGCUAGUUGGUAGGGUAAAAGCCUACCAAGGCGACGAUCCAUAGCUGGUCUGAGAGGAUGAUCAGCCACACUGGGACUGGGACACGGCCCAGACUCCUACGGGAGGCAGCAGUGGGGAAUAUUGGACAAUGGGCGAAAGCCUGAUCCAGCAAUGCCGCGUGAGUGAUGAAGGCCUUAGGGUUGUAAAGCUCUUUUACCCGGGAUGAUAAUGACAGUACCGGGAGAAUAAGCUCCGGCUAACUCCGUG
rnacentral:rRNA from 1 species